AACGAACGCUGGCGGCAUGCCUAACACAUGCAAGUCGAACGAGACCUUCGGGUCUAGUGGCGCACGGGUGCGUAACGCGUGGGAACCUGCCCUUAGGUUCGGACUAACUCCCCGACAGGGGUGCUAAUACCGGAUAAUGUCUUCGGACCAAAGAUUUAUCGCCUUUGGAUGGGCCCGCGUUGGAUUAGCUAGUUGGUAGGGUAAAAGCCUACCAAGGCGACGAUCCAUAGCUGGUCUGAGAGGAUGAUCAGCCACACUGGGACUGAGACACGGCCCAGACUCCUACGGGAGGCAGCAGUGGGGAAUAGUGGACAAUGGGCGAAAGCCUGAUCCAGCAAUGCCGCGUGAGUGAUGAAGGCCUUAGGGUUGUAAAGCUCUUUUACCCGGGAUGAUAAUGACAGUACCGGGAGAAUAAGCUCCGGCUAACUCCGUG
rnacentral:rRNA from 1 species